rnacentral:rRNA from 1 species
GGAUCAGCAGGUCGGUCAUGCCACUGGUAUGCACUGGCCUUGCUGAUUCCUCCCUCUUGAUGAGCCGUAAUGUCAUUAAUUUGGUGUUGCGGGGAAUCAGGACUGUUACUUUGAAAAAAUUAGAGUGUUUAAAGCAGGCAAGCGCUUGAAUACAUUAGCAUGGAAUAAUGAAAUAGGACGUUCGAUCCUAUUUUGUUGGUUUCAAGGAUUGACGUAAUGA